rnacentral:rRNA from 1 species
CGGACGGGUGAGUAACGCGUGGGUAACCUGCCUCAUACAGGGGGAUAACAGUUAGAAAUGACUGCUAAUACCGCAUAAGCGCACGGUACCGCAUGGUACAGUGUGAAAAACUCCGGUGGUGUGAGAUGGAUCCGCGUCUGAUUAGGUAGUUGGUGAGGUAACGGCCCACCAAGCCGACGAUCAGUAGCCGACCUGAGAGGGUGACCGGCCACAUUGGGACUGAGACACGGCCCAA